rnacentral:rRNA from 1 species
GCAUAUCAAUAAGCGGAGGAAAAGAAACUAACUAGGAUUCCCUUAGUAACGGCGAGUGAACCGGGAUGAGCUCAAAUUUAAAAUCUGGCGUCUUUCAGGCGUCCGAGUUGUAAUCUAUAGAGGCGUUUUCCGCGCCGGACCGCGUCCAAGUCUCUUGGAAUAGAGUAUCAAAGAGGGUGACAAUCCCGUACUUGACGCGACAACCGGUGCUCUGUGAUACGUUCUCAAUGAGUCGAGUUGUUUGGGAAUGCAGCUCUAAAUGGGUGGUAAAUUCCAUCUAAGGCUAAAUAUUGGCGAGAGACCGAUAGCGAACAAGUACCGUGAGGGAAAGAUGAAAAGCACUUUGGAAAGAGAGUUAAACAGCACGUGAAAUUGUUAAAAGGGAAACGAUUGAAGUCAGUCGUGUGAAAGGUAUUCAGCCGUCUCUGGCGGUGUAUUUGCCUUUCACGGGUCAACAUCAGUUUGAUCCGGUAGAAAAAGGCGGGAGGAAGGUGGCACCCUCGGGUGUGUUAUAGCCUCCUGUCAUAUGUGCCGGACCAGACUGAGGAACGCAGCUUGCCGCAAGGCCGGGGUUCGCCCACGUACAAGCUUAGGAUGUGACAU